CAGUCGCCGCGGUAAUACGUAGGGUGCGAGCGUUAAUCGGAAUUACUGGGCGUAAAGCGUGCGCAGGCGGUUCGUUAAGUCUGUUGUGAAAGCCCCGGGCUCAACCUGGGAAUGGCAAUGGAUACUGGCGAGCUAGAGUGUGUCAGAGGAUGGUGGAAUUCCCGGUGUAGCGGUGAAAUGCGUAGAGAUCGGGAGGAACAUCAGUGGCGAAGGCGGCCAUCUGGGACAACACUGACGCUGAGGCACGAAAGCGUGGGGAGCAAACAGGAUUAGAUACCCGCGUAGUCCCUGUCUCUUAUAC
rnacentral:rRNA from 1 species